rnacentral:rRNA from 1 species
UACGUAGGGACCGAGCGUUGUCCGGAUUCAUUGGGCGUAAAGAGCUCGUAGGCGGCUGCUCAAGUCGAAUGUGAAAACUCGAGGCUCAACCUCGAGCCUGCAUUCGAUACUGGGCGGCUAGAGUCUGGUAGGGGGAUCUGGAAUUCCUGGUGUAGCGGUGGAAUGCGCAGAUAUCAGGAGGAACACCGGUGGCGAAGGCGGGAUCCUGGGCCAGUACUGACGCUGAGGAGCGAAAGCGUGGGGAGCAAACGGG